AGCGAACGCUGGCGGCAGGCCUAACACAUGCAAGUCGAACGAAGUCUUCGGACUUAGUGGCGGACGGGUGAGUAACACGUGGGAACGUGCCUUUAGGUUCGGAAUAACUCAGGGAAACUUGUGCUAAUACCGACUGUGCCCUUCGGGGGAAAGAUUUAUCGCCUUUAGAGCGGCCCGCGUCUGAUUAGCUAGUUGGUGAGGUAAAGGCUCACCAAGGCGACGAUCAGUAGCUGGUCUGAGAGGAUGAUCAGCCACAUUGGGACUGAGACACGGCCCAAACUCCUACGGGAGGCAGCAGUGGGGAAUCUUGCGCAAUGGGCGAAAGCCUGACGCAGCCAUACCGCGUGAAUGAUGAAGGUCUUAGGAUUGUAAAAUUCUUUCACCGGGGAAGAUAAUGACGGUACCCGGAGAAGAAGCCCCGGCUAACUUCGUGCCAGCAGCCGCCGUAACAC
rnacentral:rRNA from 1 species